AUUGAACGCUGGCGGCAGGCCUAACACAUGCAAGUCGAGCGGAUCGGCGGCCGGGUGAGUAAUGCCUAGGAAUCUGCCUGGUCGUGAGGGAUAACUUCCGGAAACGGUCGCUAAUACCGCAUCCUAUCAGAUUCGCCUAGGUCGGAUUAGCUAGUUGGUGGGGUAAAGGCCUACCAAGGCGACGAUCCGUAACUGGUCUGAGAGGAUGAUCAGUCACACUGGGACUGAGACACGGUCCAGACUCCUACGGGAGGCAGCAGUGGGGAAUAUUGGACAAUGGGCGAAAGCCUGAUCCAGCCAUGCCGCGUGUGUGAAGAAGGUCGUCGGAUUGUAAAGCACUGUAAGUUGGGAGGCGUUACCAACAGAAUAAGCACCGGCUAACGUCGUGCCAGCCGCGGCGGUAAUAC
rnacentral:rRNA from 1 species